AAGAAAAGGGUUAGGGUCUAAAACAGGCUGCAAACAGGUUGAAAACAGGCUUUUUUUCUGGUCCUGACCAGUGCUUCUGAAAACAAAAAUGAGGCUGGGUGUGGUGACUCACACCUGUAAUCCCAGCACUUUGGGAGGCCAAGGCGGGUGGUGGAUCGCUUGAGGUCAGGAGUUCAAGACCAGCCUGACGAACAUGGUAUCAUUAACCCAAUCGAAGCCAAGCAGAGAAAGGGAAAAGGUGCUGUGGGGGCUUAUGGGUCCGAGCGCACCACUCAGUCCAUGCAAGACUUCCCUGUGGUUGACUCAGAGGAAGAAGCUGAAGAGGAGUUUCAAAAGGAGCUGAGCCAGUGGAGGAAAGACCCAAGUGGAAGCAAGAAGAAGCCCAAAUACUCUUACAAGACCGUGGAAGAGUUGAAGGCCAAGGGCAGGAUUAGCAAGAAGCUCACUGCUCCCCAGAAGGAACUUUCUCAAGUCAAGGUCAUAGACAUGACAGGCCGGGAGCAGAAGGUCUACUACAGCUACAGUCAGAUCAGCCACAAGCACAACGUUCCCGAUGAUGGGCUGCCGCUGCA
rnacentral:sRNA from 1 species